AUUCUUGCGCAGAGGCAAUAUCGUAGCUUAUGAGGUCAAUCCGAGGCUCGAUCAUUGCUGGUUGAAAACUUUACCCAAUACCCCGCCUGGAUGACUUGAAAAAUAGUCAGCCGUGGCAAUUUUUGAUGGUCUCUUAUGAGA